UCGGUUCAUUAGUCAAGCAGGGUCAAAACAACAGACCAUUUCUGGUUACAUCUGACAAAAAUUACUACCUUGUCUUUUUCCGGCACUUUAAAAGAAAAACUCUGUAUAAACGCGAACACUUGGAUGUGAAAUGUACAGAAAAACUUGUCCGUGCAGAUUGUAGCACAAAACGCAAUCAACGCCGGAAUGUUAUCGCAUGGACAUCGAAAUCGUGACCGGCGACCAGCGCCUUUUCCGACGCCACAAUGUUCAGAUGAUAGCGUGGAACACGCAGCAUGAGGGUGAUAAUAUUCACGGCGCAGUUGACGGCUUCCUGCUCGAUGAAAAACGGGACAUCUUCGUAAAACAACGCCCUUAAAACACCAAGAGGAAAAGCGACAACGCAUUCCGACGGAGACGAUCUGGCUUAGGAGCCAACACCCCUUCAUCAUCCAGCCUGAUAGACAGUGCGAUCAAUAAGAAACUACUCAACAACCGACAAGAAAAGAACAUUGGACGCACAUAAAAUCAUCCCACUGCGUUCCGGGCCCUUCAUAAUCCAGACCAGGUACCAGUCCCCGACGCAGCUGCUGACAGAUGGUUAAGAACAUCCUACUGAUCUUCCGCAUGAUUCCAAAACUGCAAACAUCCCGGCACAUGUAUGUUACAGCUGAAACCAAGCGUUCAUCUGCUCUCCUGUCCAUGCGCGACACUUACUUGCGAUACAGCACCGGAUCAAAAGAAGACGGAGGAGUGUACAACGGUGGAGGGGGUGCACAAAUUCCGGGCUGGUAAGGCGCCGAAGGGUGAGAUCCAGACUGGGAGACCGUCCAUGCGUGGCCAGAGGGAAGGACGAAAUGGAGCAGCUGUUCGCUUUCAGUAACAAUGAUACGAACUAGUUGGACCUCACCCGACCGCUCAUCCUCAUCACGCUCAGAUUGUAGGAAGAACAAGACCGGUGCAUGAUUCUCAAUGGUUUGCUGGUAAACGGCAACCGCAGAAGAACAUGCAUCCAUGAUUACAACAAACUCUACAGAAUUAACGACGAAAAGGAAAUCAAAAAGUUUGUAUAACGGUUCCGUAAUGCAAAGGUUAUUAUUUAAAAUGUGUCCCAAAAUACAUAAUUUCUGUGUUAUUGUUAGUUGUAACGUA